AUUGAACGCUGGCGGCAGGCUUAACACAUGCAAGUCGAACGAGUGGCGGACGGGUGAGUAAUGCUUGGGAAUCUAGCUUCUGGAGGGGGAUAACUACGGGAAACUGUAGCUAAUACCGCGUACCAUAGGAUGAGCCCAUGUGGGAUUAGGUAGUUGGUGGGGUAAAGGCUCACCAAGCCGACGAUCUCUAGCUGGUCUGAGAGGAUGACCAGCCACACUGGGACGGAGACACGGCCCAGACGCCUACGGUAGGCAGCAGUGGGGAAUAUUGCGCAAGGGCGGCAACCGGACACAGCCAUGCCGCGUGGAUGAAGAAGGCCUUCGGGUUGUAAAGUUCUUUCAGUAGGGAGGCGUUAACUGCAGAAGAAGCACCGGCUAACUCCGUGCCAGCAGCCGCGGUAAUAC
rnacentral:rRNA from 1 species